CACGCUUGAAGCCCAGAAAGGGAUGGACAUCUGCCAGCAUUUUCUGUCUGUUGCUCUACCUUUUCCAGCAUAAUGAAUCUGUGGCCUCCAGAGAACAUUCUACAAGGACUGUGACGCAGGACACCUGCAGGGAGACCUGGCUCUCAUGAGCAGCUUCCACUUUGUGUGCAGCCUCCUUUGCAAGCCAGACCCCAUGCAACCUGUUGAGAAACCACAUUGCCAUAACUAACCCAUCAAGUCAAUUCUACCACCCCAUGGUGGAAACGCUCAGUGUGUCUACUCCAAACCUUCUUUGUUGAAAUACUUGUGCCAUUUAUUUGGAGGCAUCCUAUAGCCAACCAGAGUGUUGGGGACUCCAUAGCCAUGUGGAAAAGCAUGCGCUCCUGUGCUUACUUCCGGGAUGACGGAAGCCAACCACCUGACUGGGAAUUGAACGACAGAAGCCGUGAAAUCACAGUGAAACUCCAUGACGU
rnacentral:lncRNA from 1 species